UCUUCCUCCCAAACUAACACUUUUCUGUCUUCGUCUCAUAAAGCAAGAUUUCUAUAUCUCUUAAAUUUGCAGAAGAAUUUGUGGUGUGGGUGGUUUAGCUUAAUGGGUCAGAGCACCAUGACUUGUAAUCACGGAGGCGUGAGUUCGAAUCUCGUAGCCAGCUGCCAACACUUUUUUUCUGCAAAAUAGGGGUAGCUUAUCCUGUUCAGGC